CACUAAAACGGCAGGGCUCUGAGCCCAGCACACGGACUGACUCUUCAUUUUCUACUUGGCAGGAGGCACUUGAAGUACAGACAAAGAGAAAAGUCUACCAAGGAAAGGGAGAAGAGCAAGCUGAGGACGCCAAAGAAUCUUGUUUGGGAUCUGCAGAUAGCAACAAGAAUCUUUAAUAAGAACAACAGAGAGAUGGUAUUUCCAGACAAGGGAAUAAAUUCCCGGAAGCAACUGGCCAAGGAAUGAAAAUCCUGGAGAACAGAGUGGAAGAAACGCGUAUUCCACAUUUCCUGUUGAUUUUCUUUCCUCCCUAAACACUGACCUCCCGCAGUCUUCACUAGCAGGGUAACAGAAGCAAAUCAUCAGUGCCUGUCUUUGAACUUGAUGAAACUGUCUCAGCCUCAUGACCUGUGGUACUAGACAGAGACCACAACACCUUGUCUAUCCAGAGUGUGGGAGCACUGUGUGCAGUUAGCUCCUGGAGGCUUGUCCUCAGUAGGCUUAGGGCAUGAGGAGCCCUGGAAAGCCCAGGACCCCAUGGAGGGCCCUGGAGAAACAGCACCUGUGGCUGAGGGGUUCACAGGCCCAGCGAGAUCCACUCAGGUGAGGUCACCUGUAGAGGUCAUGCUGCGGAGUCCCGAGUCCCUGAUUAUAUUCAAGACGUGGAGCUCUCUUUUUCCCGUCCUGCUUUCUUUCCAGAAGUGCCUCAGAUGCAUCCUCCCCUUCUCUUUUCUCCACAUGAAGACGUCACUGACCAUCUUCUCUGGUUUGCUUUCCAACACCGAGCACCAAGUGCUUCAAAGGUCAUGGUGCCCUGGGGCCGAGAGCUACUUAUGUGGGCAUUUAUAACCAAAUAAAUAUUGAAAUGGCCCACAAAGCAAAUGUUAGUGGUAACCAACAGCGGUAAAACUGGGUACAUGGGACCCUGAACCUUCUUGAAUAUUCCCCAUGAGACCCUGGGCCGACCUUCGGGCUUUCCAGUGUGCUCAGAAAAUCCUCCGUGGCUCCCAGCCCCAGCUUAGUCUUUCAACGGUCCUCGGACUGAAGCAAGAGACAGGGAAGGAAUUGUCCAAGGUUUUCCAGCAUGCUGAGAACACUUACCAUGGUGGAGCCUGGCACGUACUGGCUCUUUGAUGCAUGUGUAUUGGUCUCAAGUAGCCAGAAGCAUCUCCUCUGAGAGCCCUUGCCCUCCAGUUUAAAUGGCAAAUGGAAGGGAAUGGGUUCUGGAAGGCCCCAGGUGGGCUGGGGUGGGUUCUGGAGACCAUCUUCCAACUCCUGUUCAGGAGGAGGGUUGGUCAGAUCAGCUCUGUGGCCACCUGGGCUCUGGAGGGGCGAGAUACGGGCAGGUGCGGCCACAGGAGGGAGAGCACCAUGUGCGGGGGAAGCCCACAGCUGGAACCAAAAGGCCCCAGGAGGGAUCCUGGCUCUGACAUCUCCCAGCCGUGUGGCCUUGGGCAAGGUCCCUGACUUGGACCUCAGCCUCCUCAUCUGUAAAACAGGCAGAACAGUAAUACCGACCUUGUAGGUUGUAUAGAGUUCAUAUACAUCAAGCACUUACCACAGUGCCUGGCGGACCGCAUGCCCUAAACACACAAUCCGUGAAAUGAAUCCAUCAGCAAGCAGCUGCUAGGGGCAGUGUGGGGCAGAGAGGCAGCUGCCUGCUGGAACUGGCUGACAGGAGGAUGAGUGUGUGGCAGGAGGAACGCUCUGCACAGAGGACACUAGGUAGCGUCACCUGUCUCUUACCCUGUGUCUCCACUGGAAUGGAAUGUCAGACUCGCACCAUGCAUUCCUUUCCCUGCCAAAACGCCUCCUCUUAGCAGUGAGCAAGAAAGUUGUUCGAGUGGAUGAAGCCAAAAGCCCAUUUGGCAAGAGUGCUGUUUUGGAAAAUGCUUAGCGGUGUGGGUUGGGAUGAGGUUUUCUGUGCCUUUCCAUUAUUUCUUCAGCUUCAUGUAACCCUGACUGAGCAAUGCUCAGCAGAGUGAAGGCUGGGCAGCAGAUGGACAAGAUUUUCUCAAACUCCUUUUUAAGCCAAUUUCAAAAUAGAGAGAGGGAAAAAUCCUUGUUUUCUCUUUUCGGUUUUGAGAGGUUUCAUAUGCAGACACAAUUUUAAAUUUUAUUUUUUUUGCCCCCAAUGAGAUGUUUGGAGAUGGUGGUACUAGAACAGGAAGGAAUUUAUAAGUAUUGGGGAAUUUUUCAUCCCAAUUCCCAUAUCCUCCUAUAAUUCAAGGAGUGAAUGGGUAGUGUUUUUGUUUUUGUGAGAGGGGUGGCGGAGGGUAGAGAGAGAAAGAGAGAGAGACAGAGAGAGAUUACAUAGAGGUGUCCAAAAUGAACACAGUAAAAACCAGUUUUGAUUAAUUCUGCAAUAUUAAGUAGGCAGCCAAAAAUUUUGGUCUGCUUAAUUCUUAGCUCAUCUAAGUCUCCAGUUGACUGAUUGAUUGAUUGAAUGACUUAUUCAACAUGCGCUAGCCAGACACUGGUCUAGGGCCCAGGAAUUCAGCAAUAAAUGAAACAAGACCAA
rnacentral:lncRNA from 1 species